ACAACUUCGUAAAGUAGUAGCAAUCUUCUUGGUGCCAACGAACUGUGUUGAAGUGAGGGGGUGAGCUUCUAUUAGACAGGCCAAAACCCUGGCUAACAUAAAAGUAGUGUUUUGGCAUGGAUAAGCAAUUACAAAAAGUUGGGGGGAGGGAGCGUCAAUGACUUGUGAAUGAAUUUCCACUAUUUGCAGCAGAGCUCAUGCCUGCUAGUUUGCUUGUUUGUUUUAAAAUGGGCAAUAUGAAUUGAUUCAAAAACGAAAAAGACAGAACUUGCGUAAUUUACAAGCAGAUAGUGAUACAGGCAAAACUUCCUUGGUACAGUUAACUAAUACAUACACGUGGACGAAAAGCUAAUUUCCUUGUCAUUAGCCAUCAGCAAUGCUAAUGUGACUUCAAAAACAAACCAAAAAAAACAAGGAUGGAAAAAAAAGUUGUUUUCUUUUGGACUAAUAACAGUAGAAGUGUUUGUAAAACCCUACUAGAUUUUUAGCAGAACACGCUCUGCCACUGCCACUGUAUUUUUUUUGCUACUGUGACGUUGAAUGGAAACUCCAACUUGUCUUUUGAAGUUAUAAAAAGCCUUGGCAUCAAACUUUUCUAAGAGGGGACUAAUGACACAGCAAAUGACCCCGAAAUUGUUGACGCUGUUGUUUUUCACGAUUGUCGGUUCUCGCUAGGACUCCUCUCCUAUGAGCGCUCAUCUCUGUGUUAACGUGGUGCUUACAGCACAGACACAAGCGGGACAAAAAAAAACAGGCGGAGCGUGGCUGGUACUGUUGUUGCACCACAUGUUGGGGGGGAAAGAAAAAAAAAUACAUUCCAGGAAAUCUCCCGCUUCCUGCCGCCAGCCCCGUGACUCCGCAGCGGCUGCUGUCCUCAUACCAGUCACAGAGAUUUUUCAGCUGUUACGACGCUGUAAAAGUCACAGGGCUUGAGCAGACGCAUGGACCUGAUGGAUGCAGCGAGUGAGCGCUCCCUAACCUUCCCCGAGGCCGGCAAACAAUGGUCGGAAAGAGCGCGGCGAGCGGCGAGCAUACAAGAGCCAGGAUGUCCGACAGGCCACACGGAGAAACCAUCUGCACAAACAACUGUGACAAGCGCGCGCGCACACAAACACACACACUGACUUGUGACUGACACUUUAGCGUGACAUCAAGUUGCAAAUGUCACUAAUAAUGCAUGUCAACGUUACGUGAAGGGGAAAUCAUUCUUUCACUUAAUAAUUGUAAAGGAUUAGCAAUUGUUGCUUGACUUCAGCUCAGCGAGUGCGUAAAGGCAAAGAGGAAACGUGCGACGACAACCACUGUCAGUCAGCCACAGUCCUAUUUUUUUUUGCUAGAAAAAAAAUCAUCAUUAUGAGGACUAAGUGGCAUUUUUCGAGAUAAAAACUUGAAUUUCGAUUUUUCCAAGAAUAUUACAAGAAUGAAGCUCUUUUGUUUUCAAUAAACAGUUGAGGAUGA